rnacentral:rRNA from 1 species
ACCUCGGAUCAGGUAGGAAUACCCGCUGAACUUAAGCAUAUCAAUAAGCGGAGGAAAAGAAACCAACAGGGAUUGCCCUAGUAACGGCGAGUGAAGCGGCAACAGCUCAAAUUUGAAAUCUGGCCUUCGGGUCCGAGUUGUAAUUUGUAGAGGAUGCUUUUGGUGAGGUACCUUCCGAGUUCCCUGGAACGGGACGCCAUAGAGGGUGAGAGCCCCGUCUGGUUGGAUACCGAUCCUCUGUAAAGCUCCUUCGACGAGUCGAGUAGUUUGGGAAUGCUGCUCUAAAUGGGAGGUAUAUGUCUUCUAAAGCUAAAUAUUGGCCAGAGACCGAUAGCGCACAAGUAGAGUGAUCGAAAGAUGAAAAGCACUUUGAAAAGAGAGUUAAAAAGUACGUGAAAUUGUUGAAAGGGAAGCGCUCAUGACCAGACUUGGGCUUGGUUGAUCAUCCAGGGUUCUCCCUGGUGCACUCUUCCAGCCCAGGCCAGCAUCAGUUCGCUGUGGGGGAUAAAGGCUUCGGGAAUGUGGCUCCUCCGGGAGUGUUAUAGCCCGCUGCGUAAUACCCUGUGGUGGACUGAGGU